AGUGAACGCUGGCGGUAGGCCUAACACAUGCAAGUCGAACGGCAACACAGUAAGAGUUCGCCCUUACGGGUGGCGAGUGGCGGACGGGUGAGGCAUACAUCGGAAUCUACUAUUUCGUGGGGGAUAACGUAGGGAAACAUACACUAAUACAGCAUAUGUCCAACGGCUGAAAGCAGUGGAUCUUCGCGCCUUUCCUGACUCAAUGAGCUGGUGCCGGACUAGCUUGUUGGCGGGGUAAAGGCCCACCAUGGCGACGAACCGUAGCUGAUCUGAGAGGCUGAUCAGCCACACUGGAACUGAGACACGGUCCAGACUCCUACGGGAGGCAGCAGUGGGGAAUAUUGCACAAUGGGCGCAAGCCUGAUCCAGCCAUACCGCGUGGGUGAAGAAGGCCUUCGGGUUGUAAAGCCCUUUUGUUGGGAAAGAAAAGCAGCAGGUUAAUACCCCGCUGUUCUGACGGUACCCAAAGAAUAAGCACCGGCUAACUUCGUG
rnacentral:rRNA from 1 species